GGCGGGCUCCUGGGCCGGCGCUCCAGGGGGACCCCGCGCCUGCUCAGCUGCAGAACCGAACCGGCACCUGCCAGGAGGUUCCCAGCCAAACAGACACCAAGUUGCAGAUGCUACCAUGAUGCCAACCUGACUUCCCUGGGCAGACGACCUCACCAAUGUACUCUGGAACCCCGUAUCUCUGGAGCCCUGCCCCACUAGGGAAACACAGAAACAGGCUGGGAGUAUGGAUUCACCUGCCAAUGUCCAUGUCCAGUAAAGCAAUUGCAGAAGCCAUAACUCCCACCUUCUGCACCCCAUAAUGACCCUGGGUCCAUACUCCCAGAGGGAUAAAGAAUAAAAAAGCUUCCAAGCACAAGGACCGGCGUAAGGAUCCCGGUUCGAGCCCCCGGCUCCCCACCUGCAGGGGAGUCGCUUCACAGGCGGUGAAGCAGGUCUGCAGGUGUCUGUCUUUCUCUCCCUCUCUCUGUCUUCCCCUCCUCUCUCCAUUUCUCUCUGUCCUAUCCAACAACAGCAGCAAUAGUAAUAACUACAACAAUAAAACAACAAGGGCAACAUAAGGGAAAAAAUAAACAAAUAGAAAAGCUUCGACAUGGAACUCUGGUGGUGGGAAAUGUGUGGAAUUUUACCCCCCUUUAUCCUAUGGCUUUGUCGAUAUUUUCUAUUUUUUAUUUUAUAAGUUAAAUAGAUACAUAAAUAGGGCUGUCCUAGUA